rnacentral:rRNA from 1 species
UACGUAGGGUGCAAGCGUUGUCCGGAAUUACUGGGCGUAAAGGGCUCGUAGGCGGCCAACUAAGUCAAACGUGAAAUCCCUCGGCUUAACCGGGGAACUGCGUCUGAUACUGGAUGGCUUGAGUUUGGGAGAGGGAUGCGGAAUUCCAGGUGUAGCGGUGAAAUGCGUAGAUAUCUGGAGGAACACCGGUGGCGAAGGCGGCAUCCUGGACCAACACUGACGCUGAGGAGCGAAAGCCAGGGGAGCAAAGCGGG